GCUUAACACAUGCAAGUCGAGGGGCAGCAUGGUCUUAGCUUGCUAAGGCCGAUGGCGACCGGCGCACGGGUGAGUAACACGUAUCCAACCUGCCGUCUACUCUUGGACAGCCUUCUGAAAGGAAGAUUAAUACAAGAUGGCAUCAUGAGUCCGCAUGUUCACAUGAUUAAAGGUAUUCCGGUAGACGAUGGGGAUGCGUUCCAUUAGAUAGUAGGCGGGGUAACGGCCCACCUAGUCUUCGAUGGAUAGGGGUUCUGAGAGGAAGGUCCCCCACAUUGGAACUGAGACACGGUCCAAACUCCUACGGGAGGCAGCAGUGAGGAAUAUUGGUCAAUGGGCGAGAGCCUGAACCAGCCAAGUAGCGUGAAGGAUGACUGCCCUAUGGGUUGUAAACUUCUUUUAUAAAGGAAUAAAGUCGGGUAUGGAUACCCGUUUGCAUGUACUUUAUGAAUAAGGAUCGGCUAACUCCGUGCCAGCAGCCGCGGUAAUACGGAGGAUCCGAGCGUUAUCCGGAUUUAUUGGGUUUAAAGGGAGCGUAGAUGGAUGUUUAAGUCAGUUGUGAAAGUUUGCGGCUCAACCGUAAAAUUGCAGUUGAUACUGGAUAUCUUGAGUGCAGUUGAGGCAGGCGGAAUUCGUGGUGUAGCGGUGAAAUGCUUAGAUAUCACGAAGAACUCCGAUUGCGAAGGCAGCCUGCUAAGCUGCAACUGACAUUGAGGCUCGAAAGUGUGGGUACCAAACAGGAUUAGAUACCCUGGUAGUCCACACGGUAAACGAUGAAUACUCGCUGUUUGCGAUAUACAGCAAGCGGCCAAGCGAAAGCGUUAAGUAUUCCACCUGGGGAGUACGCCGGCAACGGUGAAACUCAAAGGAAUUGACGGGGGCCCGCACAAGCGGAGGAACAUGUGGUUUAAUUCGAUGAUACGCGAGGAACCUUACCCGGGCUUAAAUUGCAGAUGAAUUACGGUGAAAGCCGUAAGCCGCAAGGCAUCUGUGAAGGUGCCGCAUGGUUGUCGUCAGCUCGUGCCGUGAGGUGUCGGCUUAAGUGCCAUAACGAGCGCAACCCUUGUUGUCAGUUACUAACAGGUUCCGCUGAGGACUCUGACAAGACUGCCAUCGUAAGAUGUGAGGAAGGUGGGGAUGACGUCAAAUCAGCACGGCCCUUACGUCCGGGGCUACACACGUGUUACAAUGGGGGGUACAGAGGGCCGCUACCACGCGAGUGGAUGCCAAUCCCCAAAACCUCUCUCAGUUCGGACUGGAGUCUGCAACCCGACUCCACGAAGCUGGAUUCGCUAGUAAUCGCGCAUCAGCCACGGCGCGGUGAAUACGUUCCCGGGCCUUGUACACACCGCCCGUCAAGCCAUGGGAGCCGGGGGCACCUGAAGUGCGUAACCGCGAGGAGCGCCCUAGGGUAAAACUGGUGACUGGGGCUAAGUCGU
rnacentral:rRNA from 1 species